UACGUAGGGGGCGAGCGUUGUCCGGAAUUAUUGGGCGUAAAGAGCGUGUAGGCUGUUCGGUAAGUCUGCCGUGAAAACCUGAGGCUCAACCUCGGGCGUGCGGUGGAUACUGCCGGGCUAGAGGACGGUAGAGGCGAGUGGAAUUCCCGGUGUAGCGGUGAAAUGCGCAGAUAUCGGGAGGAACACCAACGGCGAAGGCAGCACUCUGGGCUGGAACUGACGCUGAGGAGCGAAAGCGUGGGUAGCAAACAGG
rnacentral:rRNA from 1 species